rnacentral:lncRNA from 1 species
CUUUCUGCGCGGCCCGGGGCGCUGGGGCGCGGCGGUGGGGAUGCGGGGCGCCCUGCGGCGGGUGCCCCUCUCGGCGGGUGCCCCUCUCGGCGGGUGCCCGGCGGCGGGGGCGGUGCUGCCGGUGGCUCUGUGGCUUGUGAGCGGUUCCGUCCGUGCCGCAGCGGUAGCUUGGGCCGCCGGGCGCUCCGGCAGCGGCAGGGCGGUGGCUGGCGGCCCGGGGAGCGAUGCACUCGGCCUCAGAGCUGCUGCCGCUGCCUCCCGAGGCAGCUCCUUCGGCAGAGCAUGUGCGCGCCCGAGCAGCAGAGCGGUUCCCCGUUUCUCUCACAGGGGUUAGAACUGCUCUCUGCUGUUCAGCGGCAGAGGGGUUGGAGCUGGAUGAUAUUUAAGGUCCCUUCCAACCCAAACCAUGCUAUGAUUAUAAAUCCAAUUCUGGCAGCACAAAACAAUAACUAUAAGCUGAGGAACUGAAGGGGCGGGUCGCUGGCACCGUUCCCUUAACGGCGUAAGGCAUCACUUAAAAGGUGCUGUGACAUCAGAUGACCUUCUCCACUGUCUCCAAACCCUGUGUAUGCACAUACAGCCAACAGCAGACUGCAUCCACCUCUAGAAGAAUGGGUGUUUAAGGUGGGAGGGAAGUCUGCCAGCAUGAAGGACAGCACUGACUGUGUGGCAAAGUCAACUGAAAGACCUGACACAAGUCUUCAGUGCAACUUCUGGACUUUGAUUUGACAUGAACUAUUAUUGCAAUCAAUUGAUACAAACUUUUUUCAAACUGACAAAAUCUGAAAACUCUGUACCCAAGACUAAAGACUGAGUUGCAUUAUUUACCGUGUUUUAGGGUCAGAGAUGAUUCAAGUAACAAGACGGCAAUCAACGCAUCUUCUUCAAGUACUUUCUUUCUUAGACUUAGUUUAGCAUGAGCCUUAGACAGUGAAAUCCUGACACAUGAAUACAAGCAUGUCAGAAAUAAAUAUUGCGGACAUGAAUGUAGUAUGUACUGUGCUGCUUCAAGCGCUUCCAAACCUCAAAAGUUAACACAAGUGGGUUUUUCCUAUACCUUGGCUGUGUAAACUCCCCCCAGAUACUGUGUGGUUAUACUUGUCACUGACGAGGUGUGUGUUACUAGGCAUGCUUUUCUUAUGCUCUGAAAGCAGUGGAAGCUGGCAUAUUAUAUACUGUUAAUAACUUUGCUUGUGUAAUACCAAGCUGUAAUAAUUAAAAUCCGAUUUUUGUUUUC